AUGAACGCUGGCGGCGUGCCUAAUACCUGCAAGUCGAGCGAACAGACGAGGAGCUUGCUCCUCUGACGUUAGCGGCGGACGGGUGAGUAACACGUGGAUAACCUACCUAUAAGACUGGGAUAACUUCGGGAAACCGGAGCUAAUACCGUAUAACAUGUUGAACCGCAUGGUUCAACAGUGAAAGACGGUCUUGCUGUCACUUAUAGAUGGAUCCGCGCCGCAUUAGCUAGUUGGUAAGGUAACGGCUUACCAAGGCAACGAUGCGUAGCCGACCUGAGAGGGUGAUCGGCCACACUGGAACUGAGACACGGUCCAGACUCCUACGGGAGGCAGCAGUAGGGAAUCUUCCGCAAUGGGCGAAAGCCUGACGGAGCAACGCCGCGUGAGUGAAGAAGGUCUUCGGAUCGUAAAACUCUGUUAUUAGGGAAGAACAAAUGUGUAAGUAACUAUGCACGUCUUGACGGUACCUAAUCAGAAAGCCACGGCUAACUACGUG
rnacentral:rRNA from 1 species